rnacentral:tRNA from 1 species
AUUUUCUUAGUAUAAUUAGUACAGGUGGCUUCCAACCAUCAAGCCCUAGUUGAACCCCGGGAGAAAAUA